AGGAUGCAGAGAAAGUUAUGAAGAGAGAGCAACAACUAACAUAUGCUGGAUACAUAUCCUGGGCCAGGAUGAUGCCAGGUAUUUUACAGUCGGUCACUCCUCACAACAACCCUAUGAGCAGCAGUCUCUUCCUUAAGAUUUUGAGCGGGCCCAGUAAUCACUACCCCUCUUCAUCCCCUUAAUUCUCAAAAAAUUAAGAUAUAAGACAAAGGAGUAACAGAUGAAGAUGUUAUAAUAUCACCUCUAUUACUGAUAAAGUCUCCCUUACAGUGCUAGUGGGAGCAUAAAUCGAUAUAGCCAUUUUGGAAAACUAAACCUGAAUAUAUGCAUUCUCUAUGCCCCAGCAAUUCCACUCACAGAAAUAUACCCAGUAAAGUGUGUACGUAUGCUCACCAAACGACAUGUACUAGAAUGCUCAUAGUAGCACUAUUUGUAAAACUGGAAAAUACCCAUUUGCCUGGCAACAGUAGAAGGGAUCAAUAAAUCUUGGUAUACUCACACAAUAGAUUAUUAUAUAGCAAUAAGAAUGAUCAAACCGUAAUUACAGGCAACAAUAUAGAUGAAUAUUGCAAAUGUAACAUACUGGCAAAAAAAACAGAUGCAGAAGAGCAUGAACUGUAUGAUUUCAUUUAUGCAAAGUACAAAAGUGGGAAAAUGAAUUGGGUUUUAGAAGUCAGUUCAAGAUAGUUGUUGCCCUUGGGUGGGGACAGUGAUUGAGAGGGAGGAGGCAGGAGACUUCUUGGGGACUAGCACUAUUAUUUUUCUUGAAAUGAGUACUAGUUACUUGGGUGUGUUUGGUUGUGAAAAUUAUAGAGCGAUACACAAGCAGUAAGCAUCUUUACCAUAUAUAUAGUUCUUCAAUUAAAAAAAUUUUUAAAUCCUCUCUUGAUCCCGUCUUCCCAUCCAACUACCACUAUCUCUCCUCUUCCCUGUAAAGCAAAUGUUUUUGAAUGGAGUGUCUUUGCUCGCUGUGUCCAAUGUCUGCAUUCUCUCUUGAACCCAGUCCAGCAAACCUUUUGCCCUAGAUUCUAAAAAGCUGCUCUUAUAAAGAUCAAUGAUGACUUGCAUAUGGCUAAACCCAAUGCUCAGCUUGCCUCAUUGUACUUACCAGCAGCAUUCCAUACAGAAUAUCACUCUCUGCAUAUUCUUUUGGUUUCUGUACACAGUAUCCAUCACUAGGUGAACUCAUGGAGCCUCAUGGCUUUAAAUGCCCUGUCUGUACUGAUGACUGUCUCAUUUAUAUUUUCAGCCCAAAUCUCUCCUUGGCACAUCAGACUUGUGCAUUCAAUUGCCCACUCAACAUCUCAAACAUAAUAUAUUCCAAACAGAUGUCCUGAUAUCCUCCAAACCUGCCCUUCCCACAUUCUCCUCCUUCUUAUUAAGCUUCUCAGAUCUACUCCAUCCUUCCAGUUGUGUAGCCCCCAAACUUUGGAAUAACCCUAAACUUCUCUUUUUUUUUCUCAUACAAUGCAUCUAAUCCAUUAACCAGACCUGUUGAUUCUACCUUCAAAAUAUAUCCAGAAUUUACCCACUUCUUGCUGCUUAGACUGCCACCAUCCUGGUCCAAUCCACCUUCCUCUCUUGCCUGAAUUAUCUCAAUAGCCUUCUAGAUGCUUCUUCCCUGCCCCUCACUGCCCUGCCCCUUGCCUCUGCCCUUGCUGCCCCACAACCUAUUUCCUACAAAGAGCGAUCCCAGUAAACAAUAAUCCAAAUUAUGUCAUUUGUCUGCUCCAGACCCUCCUGUUUUCCAUCUCACUUAGAUGAAAAGGCAAUUCCAGGCUGUGAACUUCAAGACUCUGUAUGAUCUGACCUCACACUGGCUUUCAAACCUCAUCUUGCACACUGCUUCCCCAGUGUGCUCUGCGUUA
rnacentral:lncRNA from 1 species